rnacentral:tRNA from 1 species
GGAGAGGUGCUGGAGUGGUCUAACAGGCACGCCUGGAGAGCGUGUGUAGCCGCAAGGUUACCGCGGGUUCGAAUCCCGCCCUCUCCGCCA